AGUCCUGUGGUGUAGUGGUUAUCACGUUGCUCGUCAGAUGCAAAGGUCCCGAGUUCAAUCCUCGGUAGGACUA
rnacentral:tRNA from 3 species